rnacentral:lncRNA from 10 species
AAACAAUGAUGAUGGGAAAGAAAGAGUGAUUGAAGAGAUUAAAUAAAUGGUAUGACAGUGGGUAGGCAACAAAUAUAAGUGGUAAGCAGAUCAUUUUACGUGGUCAUAGUGUUAGAACAAUCUUCAGGAAUACAUCAAAAUGUUAAAACUGGUCAAAAACUGCAUUGAUCCCUUUGACAAUGGGGGCUAUAUGUUACUUAUCUUAAUACUCUUCACAACUUGUACACAACAGAUAGUGGAUUGGUAUUUUAACAAUAAACUUACCUGUGAAAGGUCUGGUAUAUCACCUCUGUCAAUUCCAACUUGCUGUAAGAAAAGCAUUGUAUUUAAUAAAUUAUAAUAAAAAUAUUUUAUAAAUAAAAUUUGGAAAAAUGACAUCACGGCUAGUACCAGUAAUAUUUUAAACAGACUUCUUAAGAAUCAGGAAAAUAUUUAAUCUCCAAAAAUACUCAACAUUUCCAAUGGCUUAGAUAUUAUUUGGUGGCCCUAAAAGUUCUUAACAGUAGGGAAACUAGAGUUGGAAAGUCAACAAAUCUAAGUUACCAUCCCUGUCUUCUGAACACCUGUAUGUAAGCUACCUUGUCACAAUCUGAAAACUCCCCUCUCUUCUAUGUGUAAUAUGAUAAAAACACUAUGGUAAGAAUGAGAAAGCCUGACCAUGAACAAGCUCUUUGAUGCAAAAAAAAAAAAAAAUUUAAGAAACAAACCUGAAGACAUCGACUUUGUCUUUCUCCAUAAAACAUGCUUUCCCUGGAAAUCACCACAGAUAACACUUUAAAAACUCAUGCUCUGUCAGGUAGGCCAGGUUUACAUAAAUGUCAAGUGAUAUCUAAUCAGGAUAUAACUGUCUUCUCAAACCAAUUCCAAUAUACCUUCAUGAUGCUCAGGCCCUAGGCAAUUUCCAGCAAAAAAAGAUAGAAACGGUUCCUGUGUAUUCUAGCACCCCAAUUAGAAAACUAUUUUCUGUCCCGUGGCUGUGUUUCAUUUUCUAAUCAGUCUCCCUUCCUUUUGUGACCUCUCAGGGGCUGGUCUCAGAAUGAUGUCAGCAGAAAAUCUGAUAAAGGCCAGAUAUGGUGGCUCAUGUCUGUAAUCCCAGCACUUUGGGAGGCUGAGGUGGGCGGAUCACGAGGUCAGGAGAUCUAGACCAUCCUGGCUAACACAGUGAAACCCCAGCUCUACUAAAAAUACAAAAAUUAGCCGGGCAUGGUGGCAGGCACCUGUAAUCCCAGCUACUCAGCAGGCUGAAGCAGAAGUAAUUAGGUAUAAAACUCUUUUCUCCAAAUUAACUGUUACAAUGAAUGAAUAUAUCAUAAUAAAUUUUUAGCCAGCUUUAAGUAACAACUCAGUCAAUAUUGUUUAUCCAUAUGACACAAGAUAAGAAAUGUUAUUAGGCUACAGCAGUAUUUACCCAACAAAUUAAUAAUUCCUUCAUUGUAUGCUGCAAACAGUCUAAUGGCAUCUUUGAACAGGAGCAUGAAGGCAGCAUUUAUUACCCCAUUUGUAAGUUCAUUGCUAUUAACCUAGGGAAAAAUUGGAAAAUAAAAUUAGCUAAUCUUAGGUUUUAAAUGACAUUGACAAAAAGAUUUCCUUCAAAUUAAGAUACAGUAAAUUCAUGCAUUAGGCAUGUUAGUGAAAAAUACAUUUAUUUUCUCUAAUACAUACAUAAAGAUCACGGUGCAGUAGCUACCAUAUAAAUGAACAUUAUUUAUUAUUAUUAAAUUUGCUGUAACCAGAUAAUUGUAUUUAUUUGACUAAAAGAAUACUGGAAAUAUUUUUAGUUUUAUCUCAAGGAAUAAAUCAAAAAGAUAAACCAAAUUAAUUCUAAGUUCUUUUUUAGCACAUGAAAAUUAACUCGUUAUAUAUAGAAAAACUAAGCACAAAAUUGAAUGGCAAACAAAAAACUGGUAAAAAAGUUAUUUGCAGACUAUCUAGUAGAGCUGAUGUCCAUUAUAUAGGGAGAAUCCUAAUAAUAAAUAAAGUAAAUGAAAACAAUUUACAAAAUAAAAAAUACAUAUGGAUAAUAACGUGAAAAGAAAUACAACUUCACUUAUCAGGUAAAUUAAAAUACAAUAAUCAAAUCAAAUUACUAAAAUAUCCUUUCCUGAACAUCAGACUAUAUUACUCAGUGCCCAUAAGAAUGAAAAAAGAAAAGAACACGGUAGCUCAUGCCUGUGGUCCCAGCACUUUGUGAGGCCGAGGCAGGAGGAUUGCUUGAGCCUGGCAGUUUCAAAUGAGACCAGCCUGGGCAACACAGCAAGACCUUGUCUCUACAAAAAACUAAAACCAAGAAAAGGCAGCUGAGCAUGGUGGUGUACCCCUGUAGUCCCAGCUACUCAGGAGGCUGAGGUGGGAGGAUUGCUUGAGCCCAGGAGUUGGAGGCUGCAAUGAGCUAUGAUCAUGCCACAGAACUCCAGCCAGGGUGACAGAGAAAAAUGCUGUCUCAAAAAAACAAAAAAAAGAUGAAAAAGCAAAAACAGACACCUGUUGAGAAGUUAGUGGCUCACCCUUUUGGAAUAUAAGCAAUAUUUAUUAAAAAUUUAAAUGUUUAUAUUAUUUGAACCACCACAUUCUUUUUCUGGGUGUUAAACCUAUUGAAAUAGGUUUACAAAUAGAAACACACACACACACAGAGGGAGAGACAGACAAGAGACAGAGAGAGGAGAGAGAAUUGAGUGUAGCACUGUUUAGGAUAAAAAAACAGAAUAAACAUCUAUCAACAGGAGGAUUAGAUAAAUUGUUAUUAUAUAACAAAGUACAAUACAGACAUUGAAAAGAAUAAGAAAUUUUAAACAAAUACAAUAUAUUAAGAAAAAUAUGCAUGGUUGGACCCUGAGAUUCUAUACAAACCAAAAUAAUGUUGAAUAACUGCAUCAGUACCCCAUGCCUUCUAGAGCAGGGGUCAGCAAACUUUUUUUUGUAAAGGGUCAGAUGGUAAAUAUUUUAGACUGUGGGCCACACAGUCUCUGUCAUAACUUUUGAACUCUGCUGUUGUAACAUAAAACAGCCAUAGAUAAUAUGUAUCAGUGAGCUUGGCUGUGUUCCAAUAAUACUAUUGAGGACACUGAAGUUGGAAUUUCAUGUAACUUCCACCUGUUACAAAAUACCAUUUAAUUAUUUUCAACCACUUAAAAAACAUACAAAAACAGGCAGUAAGCUGUAGUUGGAUAAUCUCUGUUUUAGUCUAUGAAAUACCUGUAAGAUUUAUUGAAUGUUUACUGAACACUUACUAUGUGCCACAUUAAUAGGCAAUGGGGGUACAACAGAGAACAAAAGUGACCUAGUUCCUGCCCUGAAGAAGCUUAAAAACUAGCAAUUAAACAAUUUAAAGGAAAAAUCUAUUUCAGCAUGAAACUGUCACAGUUCCAUUCACUAACUUGCACUCACAAUCUCUAAAACAAAAUGACAAAUAAAUAAUAAACAAAACAUUGUUAAGAUAGAUGACAAAAAAACAGAACAGAGUUGAAAAC